rnacentral:rRNA from 1 species
UACGGGAGGCAGCAGUGGGGAAUAUUGCACAAUGGGCGCAAGCCUGAUGCAGCCAUGCCGCGUGUAUGAAGAAGGCCUUCGGGUUGUAAAGUACUUUCAGUCGUGAGGAAGGUGUUAAGGUUAAUAACCUUAGCAAUUGACGUUAGCGACAGAAGAAGCACCGGCUAACUCCGUGCCAGCAGCCGCGGUAAUACGGAGGGUGCGAGCGUUAAUCGGAAUUAUUGGGCGUAAAGGGCACGCAGGCGGUUAAUUAAGUUGGAUGUGAAAUCCCCGGGCUUAACCUGGGAAUGGCAUUCAAGACUGGUUAGCUAGAGUCUUGUAGAGGGGGUAGAAUUCCAUGUGUAGCGGUGAAAUGCGUAGAGAUGUGGAGGAAUACCGGUGGCGAAGGCGGCCCCUGGACAAAGACUGACGCUCAUGUGCGAAAGCGUGGGGAGCAAACAGGGAUUAGAUACC